rnacentral:rRNA from 1 species
CUCCUACGGGAGGCAGCAGUGGGGAAUAUUGGACAAUGGGCGCAAGCCUGAUCCAGCCAUGCCGCGUGGAUGAUGAAGGCCCUAGGGUUGUAAAGUCCUUUCGGCGGGGAAGAUAAUGACGGUACCCGCAGAAGAAGCCCCGGCUAACUUCGUGCCAGCAGCCGCGGUAA